rnacentral:rRNA from 1 species
CAGCGGCGGACGGGUGAGUAAUGCCUAGGAAUCUGCCUGGUAGUGGGGGACAACGUUUCGAAAGGAACGCUAAUACCGCAUACGUCCUACGGGAGAAAGCAGGGGACCUUCGGGCCUUGCGCUAUCAGAUGAGCCUAGGUCGGAUUAGCUAGUUGGUGAGGUAAUGGCUCACCAAGGCGACGAUCCGUAACUGGUCUGAGAGGAUGAUCAGUCACACUGGAACUGAGACACGGUCCAGACUCCUACGGGAGGCAGCAGUGGGGAAUAUUGGACAAUGGGCGAAAGCCUGAUCCAGCCAUGCCGCGUGUGUGAAGAAGGUCUUCGGAUUGUAAAGCACUUUAAGUUGGGAGGAAGGGCAGUAACUUAAUACGUUGCUGUUUUGACGUUACCGACAGAAUAAGCACCGGCUAACUCUGUGCCAGCAGCCGCGGUAAUACAGAGGGUGCAAGCGUUAAUCGGAAUUACUGGGCGUAAAGCGCGCGUAGGUGGUUCGUUAAGUUGGAUGUGAAAUCCCCGGGCUCAACCUGGGAACUGCAUUCAAAACUGUCGAGCUAGAGUAUGGUAGAGGGUGGUGGAAUUUCCUGUGUAGCGGUGAAAUGCGUAGAUAUAGGAAGGAACACCAGUGGCGAAGGCGACCACCUGGACUGAUACUGACACUGA